rnacentral:rRNA from 1 species
CUGCAGUUCAGAGAACUACUCUUCGGAGUAGUAUUAACUGGCGAACGGGUGAGUACACGUAGGUAACCUGCCCUAGAGACUGGGACAACUUCGGGAAACCGGAGCUAAUACCGGAUAAAGCAACAAAUCUUUAUGGAUAAUGUUGUUAAAGCGGGCUUCGGCUCGCACUUUAGGAUGGACCUGCGUCCGAUUAGCUUGUUGGUGGGGUAAUAGCUUACCAAGGCGAUGAUCGGUAGUUGGUCUGAGAGGAUGAUCAGCCACACUGGGAUUGAGAUACGGCCCAGACCUCUACGGGAGGCAGCAGUAAGGAAUUUUGCACAAUGGGCGAAAGCCUGAUGCAGCAACGCCGCGUGAACGAUGAAGUUUUUAGGAAUGUAAAGUUCUGUCGUAUGGGAAGAGAUCUUUCGAAUGUUAAUACCAUUCGUUAAUGACGGUACCAUACAAGAAAGCACCGGCUAACUUCGUGCCAGCAGCCGCGGUAAUACGAGGGGUGCUAGCGUUGUCCGGAUUUACUGGGCGUAAAGGGUACGUAGGCGUUUUAAUAAGUUGUAUGUUAAAUAUCUUAGCUUAACUAAGAAGAUGCAUCCAAAACUGUUAAAAUAGAGUUUGAGAGAGGAACGCAGAAUUCAUGGUGGAGCGGUGACAUGCGUAGAUAUCAUGAGGAAAGUCAAAUGCGAAGGCAGGCUUCUGGCUCAAAA